CCUACGGGGUGCUGCAGUGGGGAAUAUUGGGCAAUGGAGGCAACUCUGACCCAGCAACGCCGCGUGAAUGAUGAAGGUCUUCGGAUUGUAAAGUUCUUUUCUAAGGGAAGAAGAAAGUGACGGUACCUUAGGAAUAAGCCUCGGCUAACUACGUGCCAGCAGCCGCGGUAAUACGUAGGAGGCAAGCGUUAUCCGGAAUGACUGGGCGUAAAGGGUGCGUAGGUGGUUUGACAAGUUAGUAGCGCAACUCCGGAGCUCAACUUCGGAACUACUACUAAAACUGUUGGACUUGAGUGCAGGAGGGGCAAUCGGAAUUCCUAGUGUAGCGGUGGAAUGCGUAGAUAUUAGGAAGAACACCAGUGGCGAAGGCGGAUUGCUGGACUGUAACUGACACUGAGGCACGAAAGCGUGGGGAGCAAACAGGAUUAGAUACCCCUGUAGUC
rnacentral:rRNA from 1 species